GGUGGUCUAAUGAUCAUGAGGGGGUGGAGGUCUAACAGCCGGAUUCGUUCGAAUGAACUUGGCAAACCAUUCAUUCAUAGCUUAGAAGAAGACUUCUCGAGCCCCUCCUCCCAGACUAAUUGUAACGGACCUUUCACUACUAUUUGGUGGCACCGACCCUUCUGUGGGAGUGGGCACGUUACUCUCUACAUCAUUUGCACUAGCUUGUUCGGGAUCCAUAACUAUAAAAGAAAACAUUUUAAAAUCGUCAAAAGUCGUCACACUAUCAAUACAUAAGUAUGGAAUGUAUAGCUAGACUCUUACUCAUACUAAAUAUUCUGAGAACCGACUAAACCUUUGCUCUAAUACCAAUAAAUAUAAUUCCCCGAACCCGAGACCGUCGCCAGAGUCGAGCACGAGGUGUUA
rnacentral:lncRNA from 1 species